rnacentral:rRNA from 1 species
GCGCGAAAACUUUACACUGCGGGAAACCGCGAUAAGGGGACCCCGAGUGCCAGCACCUAGUGCUGGCUGUCCAGCUGUUCAAAUAACAGUUGUUAGCAAGGGCCGGGCAAGACCGGUGCCAGCCGCCGCGGUAACACCGGCGGCCCGAGUGGUAGCCGUUAUUAUUGGGUUUAAAGGGUCCGUAGCCGGCCUAUUAAGUCUCUUGGGAAAUCUGGCGACUCAAUCGUCAGGCGUUCAAGAGAUACUGGUAGGCUUGGGACCGGGAGAGGUGGGAGGUACUCCAGGGGUAGGGGUGAAAUCUCGUAAUCCUUGGGGGACCACCGAUGGCGAAGGCAUCCCACCAGAACGGGUCCGACGGUGAGGGACGAAAGCUGGGGGCACGAACCGGAUUAGAUACCCGGGUAGUCCCAGCCGUAAACGAUGCUCGCUAGGUGUCAGGUGCGGUGCGACCGCAUCUGGUGCCGCAGUGAAAACUUGAAGCGAGUCACCGUGGGAAGUACGGUCGCAAGGCUGGAAAACUUAAAGGAAUUGGACGGGGGGAGCGACUACGAAACGGGUGGAGCCGU